UACAGAGGGUGCAAGCGUUAAUCGGAAUUACUGGGCGUAAAGCGCACGUAGGUGGUUUAAUAAGUUUGAUGUGAAAUCCCCGGGCUUAACCUGGGAACGGCGUUGAAGACUGUUGAACUGGAGUCGGUGAGAGGGUUGUGGAAUUUCCGGUGUAGCGGUGAAAUGCGUAGAGAUCGGAAAGAACACCAGUGGCGAAGGCGGCACUCUGGGCCGGAACUGACGCUGAGGAGCGAAAGCGUGGGGAGCGAACAGG
rnacentral:rRNA from 1 species